GUAGCUCAGGGGUAGAGCACAACCUUGCCAAGGUUGGGGUCGUGGGUUCGAAUCCCAUCGCCC
rnacentral:tRNA from 1 species